GGAAAGGCCCCUUCGGGGGUACUCGAGUGGCGAACGGGUGAGUAACACGUGGGUGAUCUGCCCCAAACUCUGGGAUAAGCCUGGGAAACUGGGUCUAAUACUGGAUAUGACCUUCUGCUUCAUGGUGGUUGGUGGAAAGCUUUUGCGGUUUGGGAUGGGCCCGCGGCCUAUCAGCUUGUUGGUGGGGUAAUGGCCUACCAAGGCGACGACGGGUAGCCGACCUGAGAGGGUGAUCGGCCACACUGGGACUGAGACACGGCCCAGACUCCUACGGGAGGCAGCAGUGGGGAAUAUUGCACAAUGGGCGCAAGCCUGAUGCAGCGACGCCGCGUGAGGGAUGACGGCCUUCGGGUUGUAAACCUCUUUCGGCAGGGACGAAGCGCAAGUGACGGUACCUGCAGAAGAAGCACCGGCCAACUACGUGCCAGCAGCCGCGGUAAUACGUAGGGUGCGAGCGUUGUCCGGAAUUACUGGGCGUAAAGAGCUCGUAGGCGGUUUGUCGCGUCGUCUGUGAAAUUCUGCAACUCAAUUGCAGGCGUGCAGGCGAUACGGGCAGACUUGAGUACUACAGGGGAGACUGGAAUUCCUGGUGUAGCGGUGAAAUGCGCAGAUAUCAGGAGGAACACCGGUGGCGAAGGCGGGUCUCUGGGUAGUAACUGACGCUGAGGAGCGAAAGCGUGGGGAGCGAACAGGAUUAGAUACCCUGGUAGUCCACGCCGUAAACGGUGGGUACUAGGUGUGGGGCUCAUUUCACGAGUUCCGUGCCGUAG
rnacentral:rRNA from 1 species